rnacentral:tRNA from 1 species
GCCCGCAUAGCUCAGUAGAGGUAGAGCGCAUUCUUGGUAAGAAUGAGGUCCCGGGUUCGACUCCCGGUGUGGGCU